rnacentral:rRNA from 1 species
UGCGUAGGCGGUUAUCUAAGUCACGUGUGAAAUCUUCCGGCUCAACCGGAAAACUGCGCGUGAUACUGGAUGACUUGAGUGAGGUAGGGGUGUGUGGAACUUCCGGUGGAGCGGUGAAAUGUGUAGAGAUCGGAAGGAACGCCAGCAGCGAAAGCGGCACACUGGGCCUUUUCUGACGCUGAGGCACGAAAGCUAGGGGAGUGAACG